UUUCUAUAUUUUUGACCAGAUCCUGGCUGAUGGAUAUACUGAAGGCAUGAACGAUAUUAGUUGAACAAGGAAAUACACUUGAUCCAAAUUGUGAAGUUCUCUGCAGUGAAAUAUUAAAGGUACAGAUUGGAAUGGACAGCAGUGUCGAUUCCACUUGAUCUUCUUGAAGCACAACUUAACUGCUUUGUUGUAGCUGUCAGUCCUAGAGACCAAGUGGUAGAGGGGAUAGAUAGCUUAUCUUCACUCUCACCACCUAAUUACACCUCCUUCAACUGAUUUCUUGGGCACAUCACCUCUCAAACAUUGACUUUUGUUACCGCCCUGAUACUGCUUACUUCUAUGCCCAUAACAGAUGUGGCCUUUACGUGGCCUUCUUAUCACCAAAAAGCUUGAAGGAUAUGGACGAGAGUGAUACGCCCUUUGAGUUAGUAUCUGCUAAAAGCAGGACUGGUUUCAGAUGAGAUGUCAUAUUUGUCAUGUGCAGCACUGCCUGCCUGAUCCACUGUGUCACAUUUCUUCUUCUAGUAUGUGUCACAUUAUGCUAGGUCGUGCCAUCAGAGAUAACAAUAAGACAUGCUAUUACUAGAACAACACAUUGUUGCCAUAGAUUCAGAAAGCUCUGGUUCUUAUAUAGUCACCAGAGACACAUGAGCUGGAUCUUGUAGCACAAAGUCCUGCAGCCACCAAACAAAAUAUGCAUCUUAUUUUUUCCAAAACAAAAAAAAGUCAAUAGACUUGAAGAAAUCAUGAGGUAGUAUCCUGGGGAAAACAACCCCAUCGAUGUUGAAUUCUGAUCUCCAGUGCCUCUUUACAUUCAGCUCUUGUCUCACAGGAAUGGCAGUCAUUUGGGAUAAAUUGUGCCUUGACACGCUGGCACCAGACAGAUUUGCAGGAGCAUCUUUAUACCUUUCAAAACGAUCUUCCAUUUAAAUAGAUAAGAUGGUCUGGGUCUUGCCACUUUGAUUCAUAUUUAGAACCAGAACAGAUUUCUCUUUCAGAGAACACAUUUCUCCAAAUCGAUGUCUGGAAUUGCUAAAUAAAUUUCAAAGAAUAGAUUUUUUUUUCUGACCUUAUUUGAAUGUCUAGACAUUUGUGGAUUAUUGAAUCUAAACCAUCUAAAACACCAGGCCCAUGUUUUCCCCAACCAAAUUUAACCUGUAGAUUAAGAACACAAUUAUGUGUUGUAAAGUCAGAGCUUCGGGGCCAGGCUUGUUGGAGGAGAACAGAGAAGUAGAAACAAAUGAAAUGAUCACUUAAAAAACCUGACUCGAAGGAGAAAAAAAAAAUGUGGCAUAGACAAUCAGAGAACAAUCACUGACCAAUUUAUUGAUGCUGAUAUUAGGGCAGGAAGGGUACAAAGGAGGGAAGGGGAAAGUCUAAGAAAAUUAAUGUAAUUGGAAAAGGGCUAGUUAAACCUGUUCACAAAUAAUGCAUAUUUACAUUAAACAUGUUUCAUGUUUAGAGGCUACUCACCAGCCUUUUUUCAUUUCAAAUUCAAACUAUUGUAAGCCUGUUAUAUUCUAUUAGUAAUUGCUAUUAGAUGGUAACUUAAAGAACAAUUAUAUUAUAUGCUGGUCCACAGGAGGAGGCUGUAUCAACACACCUGGAAAUAGUAAAAGGGAUUCCUUCCCCAUUUGUUCCUUGCAAGGAGCAAAGUGCUGUAGGGACAGUCCAGUGGGAGGGGCCUCUUGAAGGGGUGAAAGUACCAGUCUGUCGAAUACCUUCACAGAUUAUUUCCCAUAUUUAACAAGUAUCUCCCUUAUCAUGAGGAAAAAAAUGUGAUUUUCCUUCUAGCCCAUAUUUAACCAUCAUAUUUGUGCAUAUGAUUGCAGCUCUGGUGAAAGGACUUGGGAGUCAGCUGCCAGGCUGCAAGGGAUUGAAGCGAAAGCCCCCUAACAGUUAAAGUGUCCAUUAGCUUCUCUACACUUAGCAUCCGUCAGAGAGAAGACGGGCUGGGAGCCCCGGGCGAAUUUCUAACUAGCCUAAUGAGGAGAGAGAUUCUGGGAGCAAAAAAAGUUCAUUUGCUGAAUUUCCAGCAAGAAGUCACUUCAAUAUUGCUUCUAGGAAACACUGACAGGCUUUGUUGGUAAGAAAUCAUUAUGCUGAGAGAGAAAUGGGAUAUUGUUAUAUGAGGUUUUUAAAGAAAAUUCAUUUUGAUAGAUGUCUAACUGUGCAUUCAAUUAAAUUUCCUUCUCUUUCUUAAAAAUAGAUGUCAGGUAAUUGUACUCAAGUUCUGUAAGCUGAAAAGUGUUAUCCUUUCCUUCCAGUUAUUAAAAUUUCUUUAUCAAUAUGUGUCUUUCUUGUCUUAAUCCUUUGACUAUGGGCGGCCCUCAAUGGAAAUACAUGGAGUUCUCCUCUCCUUGCCUGUGGAUGUGUACAUGCCUUCCUGAAGAAUUAAUUAACAAGCUAAACAGAGAAGGAUAACACUCAAGAAGCUGCCUAUAUGUAAGAGAUUCCUUUGAGAACUUUCAAAUGGCUCCUUCCUACAAAAAACCUGGGAAUACUUAACCUCCCACCACCAGCACACUCAAAGCUCAAGGCAAAUGCAUUUUCAAGAUUGACAGGGUCUUGGACUCUGAAAGUCUUUGGACCUGAGAAAAAUUGUGUUAUCUAAGAGUGCAGUUAUUCUGACACAGACUCCCAUAAGGUGCCCAUGACAUGAAACACGGAAGAGAAUAAUAGCAUCUACCUUAAAGAAAGACAUAGUAUAUUCUGGACCACAUAUUUGGUAAUUCUUACAGCCCUUUAAGAUAAUAUUCUAGUUAUGAUUAUCUUUAUUUUGUAGCUCAUAGAUGUCAAAAGACUAGCUCAUAAUUUUAUUGCAAGUACAUAGCAGAACCAAGAUUUGAACUCAGACCUGUCUCAUUCCACAACUAAUAUUCCUUGAAGUCAAUAGAUGCCACUGAUCUCUAAAUGAUCUGCAAAAGGGGCUCGGAGGUGGAGAGGGGAUGUCUGAGGAGCCUUAGGACUACCACCCAAUGCUCUGUCUUUAAAUACAGAUGCUAUCAUAAAUAGAGAUGCUUAAAUAGAGAUGCUAUCACCAAGGUCUCUUUCACACAUACUCCUUCUCUUGCUCAUUUCUAUUCGUGUACUUGGUUCUCAGUGUAAGAUUUUGUUAGAAGA